GAGGGUAUAGCUCAGUGGUAGAGCACAUGCUUAAUAAGCAUGAGGUCCUAGGUUCAAUCUCCAGUAAUUCCA